UACGUAGGGUGCAAGCGUUUGUCCGGAAUUAUUGGGCGUAAAGAGCUCGUAGGCGGUCUGUCGCGUCGGCUGUGAAAUCCCGAGGCUCAACCUCGGGUCUGCAGUCGAUACGGGCAAACUGGAGUACUGCAGGGGAGACUGGAAUUCCUGGUGUAGCGGUGAAAUGCGCAGAUAUCAGGAGGAACACCGGUGGCGAAGGCGGGUCUCUGGGCCGAUACUGACGCUGAGGAGCGAAAAGCGUGGGGGAGCAAACAGG
rnacentral:rRNA from 1 species